rnacentral:tRNA from 1 species
UGGGCUAUCGCCAAACGGUAAGGCACAUGACUUUGACUCAUGUAUUUGUUGGUUCGAAUCCAACUAGCCCAG